CAAUUGAACGAAAUGUGCUCC
rnacentral:piRNA from 1 species